AGUUGUGAAACCAGUCACAUACACAGAAAGUUAUAUACAAUAUUGAAGUUUUGCAUAUGAAUUUCUUACAAGAUGACUGCUAGUUAUUGGCUCAAAGAAUCACUUCUGAGGAUGUCAGACAGCAGCAGCGGAAUGGAAUACAAGUAAAAUUGCAUUAUAUUUAGGGGGCAAAGGGGAGCAGGGGGACUAAAUCAUGUUUUUAACAUU